rnacentral:rRNA from 1 species
CACGUAGGGUGCAAGCGUUGUCCGGAAUUAUUGGGCGUAAAGAGCUCGUAGGCGGUUUGUCGCGUCUGCUGUGAAAACCCGAGGCUCAACCUCGGGCCUGCAGUGGGUACGGGCAGGCUAGAGUGCGGUAGGGGAGAUUGGAAUUCCUGGUGUAGCGGUGGAAUGCGCAGAUAUCAGGAGGAACACCAAUGGCGAAGGCAGAUCUCUGGGCCGUAACUGACGCUGAGGAGCGAAAGCAUGGGGAGCGAACAGG